rnacentral:lncRNA from 1 species
CAGGUGUGUUAUCACCGGGACUCGCCCUUUUCUCCCGGAACAUUCCAUGAUUUUUCACCCCCUUUUCCCCUCGGGAAUGCCGGGAAUUGCAGGAAGCAGCUCCUUCCAGGUGUGUUAUCACCGGGAUUGGCCCUUUUCUCCCGGAACAUUCCACGAUUUUUCGCCGAGCCCGUGCCGGUUUGGGCCCCUUGAGGGGGCCCUUUUCCCUGUUUUUCCCCUCUCCCAGAAUUCCCGCUGCUCCGGGGUGUUGCCUGCACGGCACCAGUUUAAUGGGGAUAUGUACACCAGGAUUAUCCAGGGAUUCCCCCUCCCCAAACCCCGUGGAAUGCCCGGGUGGGAAGAUCCACCUGGCGAAUCCCGUGGAAAACUCAACCUCCUCCUUCCACCCCUCCCUCCAGAGGAGGAUUCCAAGCGGGAACGCAGUGGGAUUCCAGGGGGUUCAGGGGUGGGAAUCAGAGCUGGAUCUUCACCACCAGGUUCAUCCAGGGGCCACCACCGAGCUCAUCCCGAUUUUUCCCUCCCCCCCAUCUGUCACAGAGGGAUCCCCCCCCUCCGGUUUUCCCGGCGAUUCCCAGUGGGAAGAGCAGAAUUCCAGAGGCAGCAGCAGCAGCUCCAGCAGGGCCCCGAGGGCACAGCCCAGCCCCCCGGGGAUCCCUUCCCCAAAAUAAAUACCACUGUCUCUGGGAAAAACCACGGGGCACAGGGGGCUGGAGGCCAUCCCAGGGAUCCGGCUGCUCCUUCCAGAGGGUGUCCCUGGCCCGGAGCCGGGAGGGAAGGGGCUCCCAGGCUGGUUUUUUUGGGAUGUUUUUUUUGGCAUUGGAGCGGCGGGGCCGGGCGGGAGCGGCUCCGCUCACAUGAAGUCGUCGGAGUCGUUGCCAUCCUGGGGAGGGGGGGAAAAACAAAAAGAGGGAAAACUGGGAUCACUGGGAAUGUUAGAAGUGGGAAAUGGUGGGUGGAUCUUCGCAGAAUUCCCCUUUGUUCCCGUUCCUUGGAUUUCACCCCAGGAAAGCAGAGCAAAGGGGGUCUGGGGUGGGUUGGGUGGGAGGGAACGCAAAGCUCGUCCCAUUCCGUGGGCAGGGACACUUCCCAACAUCCCAGGGGAUCCAACCCGGCCUUGGACACUGCCAGGGAUCCAGGGG